rnacentral:misc_RNA from 1 species
CUAAGGAUAUUACGGAAUGACCAUUAGGUCAUGGAAUAACGAAGACAUAUUGUAUUCAGUUUUGAAUGUUUAUAACAUUCAACAUUGCACAUUGAAAACUAGAUAAGUAAGCAAUAGAUUUUACCAAGCAAAAAACCGAGUGAAUUUCUAACGAAAUUCAACAAGCUUAAUAAUCGCGCGUCGUCUUUAUAGACGACAUCACAGAUUAAUAACAGUUAUUUUCUUAAACGUUAUGUAUAAGGAAAUAUAG